rnacentral:rRNA from 1 species
GGGGAAUAUUGGACAAUGGGCGAAAGCCUGAUCCAGCAAUGCCGCGUGAGUGAUGAAGGCCUUAGGGUUGUAAAGCUCUUUUACCAGGGAUGAUAAUGACAGUACCUGGAGAAUAAGCUCCGGCUAACUCCGUGCCAGCAGCCGCGGUAAUACGGAGGGAGCUAGCGUUGUUCGGAAUUACUGGGCGUAAAGCGCGCGUAGGCGGCUAUUCAAGUCAGAGGUGAAAGCCCGGGGCUCAACUCCGGAACUGCCUUUGAAACUAGAUAGCUAGAAUCUUGGAGAGGUCAGUGGAAUUCCGAGUGUAGAGGUGAAAUUCGUAGAUAUUCGGAAGAACACCAGUGGCGAAGGCGACUGACUGGACAAGUAUUGACGCUGAGGUGCGAAAGCGUGGGGAGCAAAC